UACGUAGGGGGCGAGUGUUACCCGGAUUCACUGGGCGUAAAGCGGGUGUAGGCGGCUCGGUAAGUCGGGUGUGAAAUCCCACAGCUCAACUGUGGAAUUGCGCCCGAAACUGCUGAGCUUGGGGCCGGUAGAGGGAGACGGAACUGCCGGUGUAGGGGUGAAAUCCGUAGAUAUCGGCAGGAACGCCGGUGGGGAAGCCGGUCUCCUGGGCCGCGCCCGACGCUGAGACCCGAAAGCUAGGGGAGCAAACCGG
rnacentral:rRNA from 1 species